rnacentral:lncRNA from 10 species
AGACUGGUUUGCAUGGAUGAAUAAUGAGAUGCCUGUGGUUUCUGACUUCUGAUUAGUUUGGCCAAAGGAGAACACAGGAAGGAGUUCAAAUAAAAUAAGGGUGAAGAAGUGAUUUGUUUGAUUGGUGAACUUCAGAGAAGAAAAUUGUUCUGGUGGCUCAGCUCCUUCUGGAUUCCCUCUUCCCGGAUCUGCCUCCCACAGAGAGUAUUCACUCUGGUCUUCCCUAUGGCGUGCAGCAACAAACCUGGACUCUUAAAAAAAUACAUAAAUAGCUCAUAUUAUUUGCAAUGAAAUUUGCCCUUAUUUAUUUAACAAAUAUUUUCAAGUACUCAUUAUGUAUCAUACAUCGUUCCAAGCUUGAGAGAUAGUACAGAGAUUGUAUUCUACCUUCAUGAAUACAUUCUAACUGCAAGUGAUUGACUGAAUUAUUGGACCCAGUACUUCAGCAUUUCUUAUUUCUACCUAAUUUUCCUUCCUUUAUUUAGAAAAAGAAACAGUAAUGAAUAUGUUGCAUACCAUCAUUUCUUAGUUCCUCUGACUACAGCCCUCCGUUUGUACUCUUCCCUUGGUCUAUGUCAGUGUUAAUAAAAGAGCUGGUCUCAAACUUCAUUGUGAAACCAAUUAACCUAAUUGUCUUGUUAAAACACAAUUAAUGGAACCUAUACCUAGAAUAUUUGAUUCAAUAGAUCUGGAGUGGAAUGCAAGAAUUUGCAUUUUUAACAAGUUUCCAGGUGACACUAAUGCUGCUGAUCAUGGAACACACGUUGAGAGCCGCUGUGUUAGAGGCAAGUCUACAGGUGCUCCUAGGAAUUUAAGGCGAAGUUGAAGCUUAUGAAAGAAAGACUUAGACUGCUGUCAGAGCUGGCCCUACUCCUCCAGACUGUCUCCUAUUGGAGCACUUUUCUAAAAAUACCUUGAUAACUCAUGGUUUUUAUUUUCCUAAAAGGAGGUUAGUUCUUUAAAUGUUUACUACCUACAAAGGUCAUUAUUGCUGACUCCAAUGUUUUUUUUUUUUGGAUUUUUC